AUGAAGUGGCAGCCGUUCAUGUCCAUGUUCGUACUGAACAAGAUGUGUGAGCUCAUCUCUAGUGGAGUUAGGACUGAUAAGGGCUUCAAGGAGGUGCACUUGAACACCGUUGCGAAGCAGGUGUUCGAGUUCUGUGGGCAAGAGGUGUCUGCCAUGCAACACGUCUUCUCCUUCGGGCUGGCAACUGGAAAGCAUGCCAUGGGCUUGGGUGAGCCUCUUGGUUCUCCCAUGCCAGACUUCCCUGGGACACCGGACGUCGAGGUCCUUGAUGGCCCUGACAAGCCCGCUGCGAAGCCCUUCGACAAGCCAUUUGACCCCAACCAUGAUAGGAUGAGGAAGAGAGGAGGCCUGAUGGAGGAGGAGAUCAAUGUCUUUUGCAGCAUGACUGAGGCGGUGAAGGAGGUGGCAACAGCCAUCAGGGAGUGCAAGCCCCUUGACGUCCACCCUGACCUGUAUGGCACUGUCAUGACCCAGGGUGGAUUCAGCGACGAGGCUCUCAUGGCAGCUCUCAGCCACCUGCUUGACAACAAGGCCCAGGGUGUUGGGUUCGUUGCCAUGGCUGACGCUCACAGGGGCAAGUGGUAA
rnacentral:rRNA from 1 species